UACGUAGGGGGCAAGCGUUAUCCGGGUUUACUGGGUGUAAAGGGGGCGCAGACGGCGAUGCAAGCCAGGAGUGAAAGCCCGGGGCCCAACCCCGGGACUGCUCUUGGAACUGCGUGGCUGGAGUGCAGGAGGGGCAGGCGGAAUUCCUGGUGCAGCGGUGAAAUGCGUAGAUAUCAGGAGGAACACCGGUGGCGAAGGCGGCCUGCUGGACUGCAACUGACGUUGAGGCCCGAAAGCGUGGGGAGCAAACAGG
rnacentral:rRNA from 1 species